CUCCCCUUUUCCAGCGCCCUUCAUCUUCUUAUUCAACUUCGGAAUCGGAUCACGCGAUCAGCGCUCGCAUUCGAUUUGGGUGCUUGCAAGGGACUUGGCGAGGUCGCUGCAGAUCUGAGCUGCAAGGUCGGGCAAUUGGUUUUGAGCUUUUCAGUUAGUUCUGGCGCUUCUGGGUCGAUAUCUGAAGAGGACUUGGGGUGGGGAUUCUUCUUCGGCGCUCGAUUGGGGGUGUUGGGGUGGCAAGCCCAGGGAGCUGCGAGGAUUAAGAAUUGUGGGUUCCAUUGGUGCUGUUAUGAAUUAAUCUGAGUUGUUAAGAAUCUGGGUUGGUUGCUUACACGAGAAUCUAAAAAAAUUCAGGUUUGAUGCGGGUCAGUUCCUGAUCUCAAGGUAACUGAUUUGAAAGCCUUUAGUGAUGAUCGUGGAAUAGAGGAGACGGAAUGUAGUGGCUUUUUUGCUGGAAGAAGUUUUCUUGAAGUGUGGAAAAGAGCGAGUCUAUGAUGAUGCCGGUCUGCACUGACGGCCACGGUGACAGAUGGAUUCUCUGGAGUAGAUGGAAAUGAAUACUGCUCAGACCGUGCUUUUGGUUCGACAUGCAGGGGGUAGUUGAGAAUCAUUAAGGGCAUCAGUGAACUUGGAUGCAGAAUUGAAAGGAUUGAGAAGAGUGGCCGGUGCCGGUGAAGUUAAAGGGUCCACUGGCUUUAAGAAUGACGGCCGCGGAGUGUCCAAAGGGUUCUGAUCCAAACUGCCAAAUAGACAUAUUCCUCAAUGUGUACGAUUUGACUCCCAUGAACAAUUAUGUAUACUGGGUGGGCCUAGGGAUUUUUCAUUCAGGCAUUGAAGCGCAUGGUGCGGAAUAUGCGUUUGGUGCUCACGACUAUCCUACUAGUGGUGUAUUUGAAGUUGACCCUAAACAAUGUCCGGGUUUCACGUUUCGAAGGUCGGUGCACCUUGGGACCACUAGCCUCAAUGCAGCCGAGUUCCGGAGUUUCAUGGAGCAAUGUGCGGACGAGUACUAUGGGGAUUCGUAUCAUCUUAUAGUGAAGAACUGUAACCAUUUUUCUGAUGAUGUGUGUAGAAGACUAACUGGAAAACCCAUUCCUGGAUGGGUUAAUCGCCUCGCCAGAGUAGGCUAUAUGUGUAAUUGUUUGCUACCCGAAGGGCUGCAAGUCACAGCUACUGAAGCUCCAGGAUGCCAGAAUCCAAAUGCAGAGAGCGUUUCUGAGUUUGCGGAAGGAAAGGAGAUGGUGGAAAGUGAGAGUGAUCAGGAGCGUGCGUUAAUUACUGCGCCCAGUGGCAAUACUCAAACGUUAAUGAGGGACAGCUUCAAAGAGGUGGUUUUCAAACCUAUGAAAGACGACGGUUUAUGACCUCUUUUUCAUCUUCUCGUGACCUCUCUCUCCACCUGUGGUCUCUUAAAAAUAUCUUAGGAGAGAAUAGGGCAUGGUGAUGAUGCCUUGCAGGCUGCCAGUCGGGAGAAUACACAGACUGUGUCGCAACCCCCAGAACUAAGUGCUUCGCCUUCGCAGGUUAUGCGAAGAGCUGAUGGAGUGAAGGCACAGGAUAGAGCAUCUGUGAACCCGUGAGUUCGCACUGCACGCCUCAAAUUCACAAUCGUUCCGCUCCAGCUUGUUAGCAAAAAACAAAAUCUGAGACGCUUAAGGCUGGUUGUCUCAGAAUCGUAGGCACUGUUCCCAUUUGGGAAUGAAGGAAAUGGAUAUUCAAGGUAGCAGUUUGUGCUUGUAGAAUUCUAGCUUAAGUCCUAGUUGGAUGUAGCGCUUACAAGUUCCAUUUGGGGAUUCAAUGUCAUGGGUAGAGCUUUAGAGGAUGACGGCACACUGAGUAGGAUCCACUUGUUCUAACACGACCAGUUGAGAUUCAAUCAAUCCAUUGGAAUCCGCAAUGCUUGUGUAUCCAUCUCCCUGGUUAUAAUUAUGAUGACAUAAGAACCGCGUUUGGACGUAGUA